rnacentral:lncRNA from 10 species
UAUAAUGUCCUUCUUUGUCUCUAGUAACAUUUUUUUUGUCUUAAAGCCAAUUUUUUUCUGACAUUAAUAUAGCCACUCUAGCUCUCUUUUGGUUACUUUCUGCAUGGAAUAUUUUUGCAUCCUUUUACUUUCAACCUAUUUGUGUUUUUUAAUCCAUUCUGCCAAUCUGUGCCUUUUAGUUAGAGACUUUAACCCAUUUAAUUUAAUGUAAUUAAUCAUAAGGAUUUACUUCUCCCAGUCUAUAUGCCAUUUGCCUUUUUAUUCCUUGGUUCUUCCAUUAUAGCCCUCCUUUUAUGUUCUGUAGAUACUCUCUAGUACACCAUUUUAAUUCCUUGUUGUUACUUUUACUAUAUAUUUUUUAGUUCUUUGUGUUUGCCCUGGGAUAACAAUUAACAUCUUUGUUUAUAGCCAUGUAGUUUGGGUUUUUUUUUUUUCCUAAUUUUUUCUUUUGAGACAUCACUUUGGGAAGCAGUGACAUCCAACCUGUAUCAAGUCUUCUAAUCUGUGAACAUGAGAUGGGUCUCGGCUGUGUUACCUAAGCUGGAGUGCAGUGGCUAUUCCCAGCACAAUCAUAGUGCACUACAGUCUCCAACUCCUGGGUUCAGGUGCUCCUUGUGCCUCCGCCUCCUGAAUAGCUGGGAUUGCAGGCAUGUGCCAUCAUGCCUGGCUAUGUGCCUUCAAAAAGACUACAGUUGUGGAUGGAGUGUUUUAUCAAUAUUAGUUGGUUUAUGAUUGUGUUUAGUUCCAUAUCCUAGCUGAUUUUCUAUCUGUUCUGUCCAUUCUUGAAGAGUCCAACUAUAAUUUUGAGUUUGUCUAUUUCUCCUCAAGUUCUGUCAGUUUUGCUGUAUAUAUUUGAGGUCUGUUUUUAGAUGUGUACACAUUUUAAAUGGUGUUGGGUCUUUACCAUUAUGUAAUGUCCCUCUUAAUCUAUUGUAAAUUUCCUUGCUUUGAGGUAUAGUUUGUCUUAUGUAAAUAUAAUCAGUUCAGUUUUCCUUUGACCAGCAUUUACGUAACAUAUCUUUUUCCAUUUUUAAACUUAUAAUCUACCUAUAUUAAAAUAUAUAGUCAGGCCAGGUGCAGCGGCUCAUGCGUGUAAUCCCAGCACUUUGGGAGGCCGACAGAUCACUUGAGGCCAGGAGUUUGAGACCAGCCUGGGCAACGUGACGAAAACCUGUCUC